AGAGUUUGAUCCUGGCUCAGGAUGAACGCUGGCGGCGUGCUUAACACAUGCAAGUCGAACGACUAAACCGCCCUCGGGCGGACAUAGAGUGGCGAACGGGUGAGUAACACGUGACCAACCUGCCCCCCGCUCCGGGAUAACGCGGCGAAAGCCGCGCUAAUACCGGGUACUCCGGCGAGGCCGCAUGGCCCCGCCGGGAAAGCUCCGGCGGCGGGGGAUGGGGUCGCGGCCCAUCAGGUAGUAGGCGGGGUGACGGCCCACCUAGCUUUCGACGGGUAGCCGGGCUGAGAGGCCGACCGGCCACAUUGGGACUGAGAUACGGCCCAGACUCCUACGGGAGGCAGCAGUGGGGAAUUUUGCGCAAUGGGGGGAACCCUGAUGCAGCGACGCCGCGUGGGUGAAGGAGUAUUUCGGUAUGUAAAGCCCUAUCGGCAGGGAAGAAACCAGACGGUACCUGACUAAGAAGCCCCGGCUAACUACGUGCAAGCAGCCGCGGUAAUACGUAGGGGGCAAGCGUUAUCCGGAUUCACUGGGUGUAAAGGGAGCGUAGACGGCCAGGCAAGCCUGGAGUGAAAGCCCGGGGCCCAACCCCGGGACUGCUCUGGGAACUGUCCGGCUGGAGUGCGGGAGGGGCAGGCGGAAUUCCUGGUGUAGCGGUGAAAUGCGUAGAUAUCAGGAGGAACACCGGCGGCGAAGGCGGCCUGCUGGACCGCGACUGACGUUGAGGCUCGAAAGCGUGGGGAGCGAACAGGAUUAGAUACCCUGGUAGUCCACGCCGUAAACGAUGACUACUAGGUGUCGGGGGACGACAGUGCCCCGGUGCCGGCGCAAACGCAAUAAGUAGUCCACCUGGGGAGUACGUCCGCAAGAAUGAAACUCAAAGGAAUUGACGGGGACCCGCACAAGCGGUGGAGCAUGUGGUUUAAUUCGAAGCAACGCGAAGAACCUUACCAAGGCUUGACAUCUCGAUGACGAAUGUAGAGAUACAUUUUUUCUUCGGAACAUCGAUGACAGGUGGUGCAUGGUUGUCGUCAGCUCGUGUCGUGAGAUGUUGGGUUAAGUCCCGCAACGAGCGCAACCCUUAUCUUCAGUAGCCAGCAUAUAAGGUGGGCACUCUGGAGAGACUGCCGUGGAUAACACGGAGGAAGGUGGGGAUGACGUCAAAUCAUCAUGCUCCUUAUGUCUUGGGCAACACACGUGCUACAAUGGCUGGAAACAAAGUGAAGCGAGACGGUGACGUUAAGCAAAGCACAAAAACCCAGUCCCAGUUCGGAUUGUAGUCUGCAACUCGACUACAUGAAGCUGGAAUCGCUAGUAAUCGCGAAUCAGAAUGUCGCGGUGAAUACGUUCCCGGGCCUUGCACACACCGCCCGUCA
rnacentral:rRNA from 1 species